CCGAGGUCAAGGAAUAGACGAUAGGGUUAGAAUUUAGGAGCUGUUUUUUUGGAGUAUUCGACCGCAACCCAGGAGCGACUGCAGCUCUGUGGUGUUGAUGUGGGACAUGGCUGACCUCUGCUGGACGCUUAGCUAACUGCAACUGGAAGAGAGAGGAGACGGUGGUGGGCAAUUAGCCUGAUGUUGGAUCUGGAAGUUGCACCUGAGCAUAUUCCUAAACUCUAAGGGACUGAUGACUUAACCAAACCAGCUGCUGGACCCUCAGCUGGAGAGACAGCUCAAUACACCAUGGUAGACGCUGAGCACUUUGUGGAUAAACAUAGAACCGAGCUGAUCAACAGAGUGAACUGCGUUGGAAACAUUUUGGAUCAGCUCCUUAGGAAAGUCAUCACAAAAUCGAUUUAUGAUAACAUUUGGAAAAUCCCAACCACUCAGGAGCACAUGAGGGAACUCUUCAGUGGUCCCCUGAUUGAGGCAGGGCUUCCUGGCAAAGAAGUUUUCUACAGAAUCCUUGAGAAAGAGGAGAAAUAUCUCAUUGAGGACCUAAAGGGAAAGAAGUGAAUGUUGUGGAGAAAUAAUUUUUUAGACCAAACGUACAUUGUGCCUCAAGAAAAAAAGCGUCUUAAACGAUUCCAAUGGGGAAAUGGUAAUGUAAAUGUCUCUGUAGGGGGUUCUAUCAAAUAUAGCUUUUGCACCUUCAUGUUUAAUCAUAGCUCUUGCCCUUUUUUUACACUUGGACCAGUCAUAUUUUAUAAAAUGUACACGUUUUCCUGUAAGGUUAAAACCAGAUUCAGCAAACCAUGUAAGUCAUUCAUGUAAUGUAAUGAUGUAAGAAAUGAUUUAGCGUUCUCACCUGACAUGUAAUGUUUUAAUCCAGCAAAUCCCAGAUGGAUUGAAUCUGCUUUGAACCUAUUUUGUAUACAUUAAAAGGAUGCUUGAUCAUGAAUGAUUAUUCUUAGGUUUUGCAUGCAGAUUUUAAUUUUGAUUAUUGUCUUAUGUGAUAAACGAUUCUAUUGUUGUUUUUUCCUUCAUGAAAAUACGUUUACUUUUGGAGGCCAAUGUUUUUUAUUUCGAAAUACAUUUUCAAUAAACUCUUAUAAAUAUUA